rnacentral:rRNA from 1 species
UUGAACCUUCGGGGUGAUUUGUUGGGCGGCGAGCGGCGGACGGGUGAGUAAUGCUUGGGAAUAUGCCUUAUGGUGGGGGACAAACACUUGGAAACGACUGCUAAUACCGCGUGAUGUCUACCGACCCAAGUGGGGGACCCUCCGGCCUCCCCCCCUAAAAUUACCCCAAGUGGGAAUAACUAAUUUGGGAAGUAAUGGCU